rnacentral:snRNA from 1 species
AAGGUAGAAUUCAAGUUAGACGA